rnacentral:lncRNA from 10 species
AUAUCAUUUCCUUUCCCUUUCAGUUUAUACCUUGUGAUCCCUCCAGCCCAUUCAUACUCUUGCCACUACCCCAGUCCUUUUGUUUACUAGUCUUGCAAAGGCUAAGCUCACAAUAAGUCAAACCAUUUUACUCUUCACUCUCAAUCCAGGAUGCUGACUUAAGAUACAAGAAAGAAGGGGGGCUGUUGAUGGGUGCAAGGAAACAUGGGUUGAGAGAGUAACAAGUGGGCUGAGGGUCCAAUUGUGAUUGGAAAUGUAAAUGUGUCAAGACACCAACUCACAUGGUUGUGUGAUUUCCUCCAGUGACCCAGGGUAGGAGUACAGUGACCAAAUGGUUGGAUUUAGGGCCUUGCAGUAGAGGUGAAUGGAAUGAUAAGACAACGAAGGAACUGAGAUAGACGGAAGCAAAGGGCCAUAGUAGUAUCUAAAUUGAAGAGGAAAGGGAGUAAAAGCAUAACUUCUGUUGGGCCUAGUAUGUACACUGUAUCCAUCUACUUUCUUUUUCUUUAUUUGGGGUAUAUGAGAACCUGGCACAGUGUUAAUAAGACCCAAGUGUUCAGAAGAGAAUGCAAGCCAGGCUAAUGAAGGUGGCAGGAAUAGCACCAUCUCUCCUGGACCAUUCACCACACACAAAUGUGACUGCGGUGACAUGGAGAUCUAAAAUGAUCUAAUGCAGCCAGUUGGUAAGGGCUCAAGGCUAGAUUUCAUCUUUCAGGGUAAUGAGAUGUAGCAUCAGUAAUUGAGAGUGCAGGCUUGAAGGCAGGGGGCUACAAUCCAAGAACACCAGGGGAUUCCUGAAACCUCAGAUAGUACUGAACACUAUAUAUACUAGGUUUUUUCCUAUACAUACAUACAUACGUACCUAAGAUAAAAUUUAAUUUAUAAAUUAUGCAGAAUAAGAGACUAACAAUAGCUAAUAAAAUAGAAUGAUUAUAACAAUAUGCUGUAAUAGAAGUCAUGCAAAUGUGCAUCUCUCUCUCAAAAUAUUUUAUUGUACUGUACUCACCUAUUUGGUUUACCCAGUUGGCCGUAGAUAACUGAAACUGC